UAGGGAAUCUUCCGCAAUGGGCGAAAGCCUGACGGAGCAACGCCGCGUGAGUGAUGAAGGUCUUCGGAUCGUAAAACUCUGUUAUUAGGGAAGAACAAAUGUGUAAGUAACUAUGCACGUCUUGACGGUACCUAAUCAGAAAGCCACGGCUAACUACGUGCCAGCAGCCGCGGUAAUACGUAGGUGGCAAGCGUUAUCCGGAAUUAUUGGGCGUAAAGCGCGCGUAGGCGGUUUUUUAAGUCUGAUGUGAAAGCCCACGGCUCAACCGUGGAGGGUCAUUGGAAACUGGAAAACUUGAGUGCAGAAGAGGAAAGUGGAAUUCCAUGUGUAGCGGUGAAAUGCGCAGAGAUAUGGAGGAACACCAGUGGCGAAGGCGACUUUCUGGUCUGUAACUGACGCAGAUGUGCGAAAGCGUGGGGAUCAAACAGG
rnacentral:rRNA from 2 species